UGGUAAUUUAAAUGUUUAUGAAUGUUAAGUAACCUGCUUUGGCACCUAAAUAUUGUUUUUAUUAUACAUGAAUCAAUUCUAAAAAUUAAAGAUGGAAGUAGUGUUCAUGAAUUUCUUUUUACUACUAAUCAAUCAGCUCUUAUGUACUUUGUUUCCAAAUGGACAGCCCGUGGAAGUGAACGGAUAAGAAGUUCCUCUUAUUCUGUGUACUGCGAUACGGCAUCAUCUUCUCUUUUAAUUGUGUGAUUGGAAUCAUAAUUUGACAGAAAACUAAGACUUGUAAUGACUUUCUUAGCUUAAAGCAUGGGGGAGUACGUGUGAGCCUGAUCUUAUUGAAUGUAUUUUCUAUAUCUGUGGUAGGUUCCAGUAGAUGUUAGCUACUUUCUUGGCAUAUUUUACCACUGUAGGCAUUAUGGUCCUUAUUACUAAGUAUGGAACACUUAAUGGAAAUGAUAUCAGUCUGACAGUCUCUGUAGUAUGAGCAUUCUUCAGUGCGUUCAUUAUAUCUGCAUUUUAAGAUGUAUUUAGAUGCUUUUUGCAGCAAUAUAUUUCAUCAUAUUGUCUAUAUGCUCUAACCACCAAGUAUAUCUGCAUUUUAAGAUGUAUUUAGAUGCUUUUGUGGCAAUACGUUUCAUCAUAUUGGCUAUAUGCUCUAACCACCAAGUAUAGAACUCUUGAUGUAAAUGAUUCUCGUCUCUGGAGAGUGAGCUUUUCCAGAAGUAUUACCUUAGUUGGAGUCUCUGGAAGUUUUGAUCCUCAGUCAGUUACACUUCUUUUCUUUUGUCUAUGAUUUCCAUAUAGAUUCAUACGUAUUUCUAAUGUGGCACAGUAAUAAGUCAGAAAUUAACCAGUCGUCGUGACUACUCACUUGGGAGUAUAAAGUGGAGGCCUCUGUUUGAAAUACUUAUUUAUAUUCUAUUUUAUGUACCUUACGAGCUUGAAGUGAGAUAAUCUAGUGGUUGAUUUCAUGCCAAUUGCAAUAUGAGAACAGGACUUGGGAGCUGAGAUAAUAUUUGGCUUCUUGAUUCAAUCAUUUUUUUAAAAGUAUAUCACUUUGUGAUGUUCCCCUUAUUUUAUUCUUAUGAGCUGACAUGAGGACAGCUAAUAGAUCGAGCCGAAUCUAAUUAAUACAGUCCAGGCCGGUGGUUCAAAUCGGCUGGGUAAGACUGUGCAUUCCUAUCCUGGUUCCUCCAGAUAUCACCACUCUUGAACUAGAAUCGCUAUUUAUCGCAAACGACUUUAAGAAAAAUCGGAAGUUCUGUAUGAGCUGACAUGAGGACAGCUAAUAGAUGGCAAGUGUAAAUGAGGAGUAGAAGAAGUACUUACUAAGCAUACGUAUAAGGGGCUUUUGCAUUGUUGUUAGUUUCACUGUCUUAAUUGUUAAUCAUGUGCUUUCGAUUAUCUUGGAUGGAAAAAUGGUCUUUUGUAAAGAGUGUUAUACAGGUAGGUGCUGAACCCUGGUUUUGGACUUAUAUGAGCUGACAUGAGGACAGCUAAUAGAUGGCAAGUGUAAAUGAGGAGUAGAAGAAGUACUUACUAAGCAUACGUAUAAGGGGAUUUUGCGUUGUUGUUAGUUUCACUGUCUUAAUUGUUAAUCAUGUGCUUUCGAUUAUCUUGGAUGGAAAAAUGGUCUUUUGUAAAGAGUGUUAUACAGGUAGGUGCUGAACCCUGGUUUUGGACUUGACCGACUCAGGUCACGCGCCCCUUUACUUUCACGCGCCACCACCACGUGUUCAUCACCGAUCUCUCACGAGCACCCUUCUCUCUCUCUCUCUCUCGGUACUGAAUUGUGCAUAUUUUUUUGUUUAUUUGUGUUGUAUACAGAUUUAUCUAUAGGUAAAUGAACUAAUUGAUAAUACAGUGAUCGUUUUUGAAGAGAAGUAUAGAGCAUCUAGGGGUGGGGAGAUGAGCUCACCGCGGCAUAGGCACGAUGGAACUUCUCCUCUGCCUUUGGGUAUGGAUUGGAGCCCUCCCCCUCGUCACUGGGUAUGUUUUUUGAUUAAUUUUUGUUGUUGAUUGAUAGGUUUCCAUUUGAAUUUCAAUGAAUUUGGCUUUUGUUUGAUAGCCAAUCGAUAUAUCGGGAUGCAUUUGGGCUUCCGAUGAAAUUGGACUUCUUUGUGAUAUGUUUAGCAUGCUUCUAUUUAUAUCGAUAACUUUAUACUGUGUGGUCGGCUCUUUAAUCUUCAAGGUUUUAGCUUGAAGAGUGUAAACCCUCAAUUUUCAUGCCACUUAGAAAAUGAUUUUUGGUAGUAUCAACUAAGUAUUGCAAUUUCAGGUGAAAUAUUUUGGUAUGAUCCUUAUUCAAGUACUAUGGACACUUAGAUUGAAAAAAAAUUCCAGUCUUUAGUUCUGUGAUAGUUUAAUCCGAUUUUUUGAUUCGUGGUAAUUGAGUUCACUAUUCAACUUGGAAGUUCUGAAUUUGACCGCAAAUUGGGUCAAGAAAAUCUGAUUAAAAACUUGAGUUCAUAUUCUUAAUUAGGAGGGUCCUGAAUUUACAAGUUCAAAAUUUCAGGGCUGCUAUUUUGUUAAUACUUCAAUUCUGGUGUUUGUGCUUACUUAUUCGUAAUUUUUUAUGCCUUAUCAUUAUUUAAUCUGACAUGGCUGUUUAAUCACUAACUGAGAUUUCUAUCGAAUAUUUGUCUGAGUUGAAAAUUAAAUUGCUCUGUGUUAAUGAUUAAUUCAUUUGCAGGCUAACUUCAUUUUUAGUCAAUGCUGGGAUUCUUUUACCUGUUCGCAAACAAUAUUCCUAUUAAGAUCAUUAUUUGUAUUGACAUCUUACACAUACUACACAGGCAGGGAGGGAAACUGUUUGGCCUCAUGAUCCUCGCACAGGUUGGAGUUACUGUGUUAUAGUACCAUCCUGGGUUGUCCUGGCAAAGUCUAGAGAUUCAGAUGCUAUAGUGGUAAUUUAAAUGUUUAUGAAUGUUAAGUAACCUGCUUUGGCACCUAAAUAUUGUUUUUAUUAUACAUGAAUCAAUUCUAAAAAUUAAAGAUGGAAGUAGUGUUCAUGAAUUUCUUUUUACUACUAAUCAAUCAGCUCUUAUGUACUUUGUUUCCAAAUGGACAGCCCGUGGAAGUGAACGGAUAAGAAGUUCCUCUUAUUCUGUGUACUGCGAUACGGCAUCAUCUUCUCUUUUAAUUGUGUGAUUGGAAUCAUAAUUUGACAGAAAACUAAGACUUGUAAUGACUUUCUUAGCUUAAAGCAUGGGGGAGUACGUGUGAGCCUGAUCUUAUUGAAUGUAUUUUCUAUAUCUGUGGUAGGUUCCAGUAGAUGUUAGCUACUUUCUUGGCAUAUUUUACCACUGUAGGCAUUAUGGUCCUUAUUACUAAGUAUGGAACACUUAAUGGAAAUGAUAUCAGUCUGACAGUCUCUGUAGUAUGAGCAUUCUUCAGUGCGUUCAUUAUAUCUGCAUUUUAAGAUGUAUUUAGAUGCUUUUUGCAGCAAUAUAUUUCAUCAUAUUGUCUAUAUGCUCUAACCACCAAGUAUAUCUGCAUUUUAAGAUGUAUUUAGAUGCUUUUGUGGCAAUACGUUUCAUCAUAUUGGCUAUAUGCUCUAACCACCAAGUAUAGAACUCUUGAUGUAAAUGAUUCUCGUCUCUGGAGAGUGAGCUUUUCCAGAAGUAUUACCUUAGUUGGAGUCUCUGGAAGUUUUGAUCCUCAGUCAGUUACACUUCUUUUCUUUUGUCUAUGAUUUCCAUAUAGAUUCAUACGUAUUUCUAAUGUGGCACAGUAAUAAGUCAGAAAUUAACCAGUCUUCGUGACUACUCACUUGGGAGUAUAAAGUGGAGGCCUCUGUUUGAAAUACUUAUUUAUAUUCUAUUUUAUGUACCUUACGAGCUUGAAGUGAGAUAAUCUAGUGGUUGAUUUCAUGCCAAUUGCAAUAUGAGAACAGGACUUGGGAGCUGAGAUAAUAUUUGGCUUCUUGAUUCAAUCAUUUUUUUAAAAGUAUAUCACUUUGUGAUGUUCCCCUUAUUUUAUUCUUAUGAGCUGACAUGAGGACAGCUAAUAGAUGGCAAGUGUAAAUGAGGAGUAGAAGAAGUACUUACUAAGCAUACGUAUAAGGGGCUUUUGCAUUGUUGUUAGUUUCACUGUCUUAAUUGUUAAUCAUGUGCUUUCGAUUAUCUUGGAUGGAAAAAUGGUCUUUUGUAAAGAGUGUUAUACAGGUAGGUGCUGAACCCUGGUUUUGGACUUGUAUUUGCCUGGAGAGUGGGAGCUGAAUUGUGAAUCUUAUAUUGGAUUAAGUGUGGUUUCAUUGAUGAGUUCGAUGAUUUCCUGAGGAAGUCCAUUUCAGUAGUAAUUUAAGUUCUACAGACUUUGUAAGUUGAUGGUUUCUAGCAUUUCUGUUACUUGAGAGGGUGAAUAUUAUUUCGUCUUUUCCGCUUUUUGUUUUGACUAUAUAAUGAGAAGUAUUUGCCUGGAGAGUGGGAGCUGAAUUGUGAAUCUUAUAUUGGAUUAAGUGUGGUUUCAUUGAUGAGUUCGAUGAUUUCCUGAGGAAGUCCAUUUC
rnacentral:lncRNA from 1 species